UGUUUUCGAGUUCUUCCACUAUGCUUUGAGAUAAUUACAUUUUACAAGUGUUGUUCCCAAAUUAACCAUGAUCCUCCAAUGUUAAUGUUAAACCUUCUAUUUAUAGAUGUGAGAGUGAGCCCUAAAGGCCUUAGGCCCAUGAACUCUAAUAAUUGGAUUUAGGCCCUUUAAUGCCUUAAUACACUUAACUUUAGUCUUGAUUUGGCCCAUCUGCGCUGGUUUGACUGCGCCGAAAGCUUCGCUAUCUUAUGACUGUGCCGAGACUUCAAGUUCUUUAUCCUGCGCAGGUGCUUCGAGCUCUUUAGGCUGCGUAGGCACUUUGACUUCUUCGGCUGGUUCGGAUAAUGAAAAUAGAACUCCCUCGUUGCCCGUGCUGAGUAGUCCCCUUGAGCUGCGCAGGCGAGUCGUCCCUUUAUUAUCUGAGGUCUUCAAUUAAACCUGCGCUGGUUGGCUUCGUUCAAUAAGAAUAAUAAUAACAAUAAUAGUAAUCAAGUAAGAUGUUCUUGUAUUGCUAAGCACAGCGCUGAUGAGUAUUCUAGUCCUCAUCAGCUACUCCCCCUAGUCUGGUUGAACAGUGUUUGUCUUUGUUCGACCAGUGGUGUGUGGUGUGAAGUCAGCGCUGUGCUGCUCUCCCGUGUCAAUUAAGCAUACAUGAUUCCCUGCACUUGUUAGAUAAGAACUUGUCAAUCUUUGUAAAAAUAGUAAAGACAAAGUAUUUCAGCGCUGCAAAUGAACUAAGAUAAAA
rnacentral:lncRNA from 1 species